rnacentral:rRNA from 1 species
AAGCAUAUAAUUAAGCGGAGGAAAAGAAACUAACUAGGAUUCCCUCAGUAACGGCGAGUGAAGCGGGACUAGCUCAGGAUGUGAAUCUGCGCUUUUAAGGCGCCGAAUUGUGGUCUGUAGACUUUGACGUUAUCUGCCGGCCCAAGUUCCUUGGAAAAGGACAGCUGAGAGGGUGAGACUCCCGUCCGGCUGGUAGAAUGAGUCAUGUGUCAACGAGUCGAGUUGUUUGGGAUUGCAGCUCUAAUUUGGUGGUAAAUUCCAUCUAAAGCUAAAUAUUGGUGGGAGACCGAUAGCGUACAAGUACCGUGAGGGAAAGAUGCAAAGAACUUUGAAAAGAGAGUUAAAGAGUACCUGAAAUUGCUGAAACGGAAGCGAAGGAAACCAGUGUUUGUUUGUUCAUAUUUCCCUGGCCACUUGUGGUUUGGGCGCUGUGAGCUUGCGUGGGUUUGCUUUGGUUGAAUCUUUUGGAAGAGCGCAGACAGAGUUGAUGUCUGUUGCUAGCACUGGAUUUGACUCAAGCAGACGAAAUGGUUUUCUUUACCCCGUCUUGAAA